GCCAGAGAAAAUAGCAUGUCCUGCAAUGGCCUAGACCUUGGAGGACCUGCAAACAUCCAGGUUCCCGUGGAAAGGUCACAGGAAACCUCUUCGUGCUUGAGCGGAGGACUGUGCCUGUAUUUAGGUGGGUGAUGGCGUGGGCCUAAGCAGGCCACGGACUAUCCGAUCUUCCCAUACACAGGAAAAUGUGCCUUGAACCUGAGUCCGUGUUGACUGAGGGAGA
rnacentral:lncRNA from 1 species